GGUCCCAUAGCUCAGUUGGUUAGAGCGUCGUACUAAUAUCGCUUAAACAACGAUGUUAUGUCCUCCUUCAUCGGGCAGCAAUGCGAAGGCCGAGAGUUCGAGCCUCUCUGGGACCA